UACGGAGGAUGCGAGCGUUAUCCGGAUUUAUUGGGUUUAAAGGGUGCGUAGGCGGGCUGUUAAGUCAGCGGUAAAAGCCCGGGGCUCAACCCCGGCGAGCCGUUGAAACUGGCUGUCUUGAGAUGUUGAGAGGUAUGCGGAAUGCGCAGUGUAGCGGUGAAAUGCUUAGAUAUUGCGCAGAACUCCGAUUGCGAAGGCAGCAUACCGGCGGCGAUCUGACGCUGAGGCACGAAAGCGUGGGUAUCGAACAGG
rnacentral:rRNA from 1 species